UGGCAAUAUGGUAUGCCCACCCCCAACUAAAAAUUAUGCAUUAUCCCCAACGUGCUAAAAUAAAAUAGAGGGAAGUAAGAAUAUACCUGGGAUGCACUAAGCGCCCAAGUUAGGAGCCUCCUCAGAUAAGGGUAUAAACCAAGCCGAAGGCCAUGGUGGUGGUAUUGAACUAUGAGAAAAUGCACCCACCGCUAGCUCGACACGCCUCC
rnacentral:lncRNA from 1 species